CAGUCGCCGCGGUAAUACGAAGGGUGCAAGCGUUACUCGGAAUUACUGGGCGUAAAGCGUGCGUAGGUGGUGGUUUAAGUCCGUUGUGAAAGCCCUGGGCUCAACCUGGGAAUUGCAGUGGAUACUGGGUCACUAGAGUGUGGUAGAGGAUAGUGGAAUUUCCGGUGUAGCAGUGAAAUGCGUAGAUAUGCGGAGGAACACCGAUGGCGAAGGCAGCCCCCUGGGCCAACACUGACGCUCAUGCACGAAAGCGUGGGGAGCAAACAGGAUUAGAUACCCGCGUAGUCCCUGUCUCUUAUAC
rnacentral:rRNA from 1 species